GAAAUUUGGUUGUAUAUUUCGGGUCUACGAAAACUUCGUUUCCUACAGCAAUGGAUUCUAUUUGGGUUUUUGGGUAAUAAGUUAGAAUAUUCAAUAUUUAUAAGCUUAAAUUGAGGGGCUAUUUGGGUUUUUGGGUAAUAAGUUAGAAUAUUAGACUGGACCCAUGAAUCAGUGAAAGAUUGUUUUCCGGCAGCGUCAGAGAGUUGCUCGUUGGGGAGAGCAACAUUAACUGAAAUAUUGGAGCCAGAAAGGGCUGUGAGAACAUUGGAAUCAGUAUCAUAAAGCUUGACUUUGUUAACGCCUUGGGUUUUGAGGAGCUGAACAACUUGGGCUGGUGAAGGUAGAUUAUUUGCGAUUCGGCCAUAGUUGAUUCCAAUGGAUCCAGAAUGAGCAACAGAGAGCAAAGAGAGGAGAAUAAAGAGAGAGAGGGAAGUGUAAAGGUAGCCAUGCCCUGGAUCUUAGGGAAAC
rnacentral:lncRNA from 1 species